rnacentral:tRNA from 1 species
GGGCAUAUGGCGAAAUUGGUAGACGCGCUAGUUUCAGGUACUAGUGGAGCAAUCCAUGGAGGUUCAAGUCCUCUUAUGCCCACCA